AAUGAACGCUGGCGGCAUGCCUAACACAUGCAAGUCGAACGAAGGCUUCGGCCUUAGUGGCGCACGGAUGCGUAACGCGUGGGAAUCUGCCCUCAGGUUCGGAAUAACAGCGAGAAAUUGCUGCUAAUACCGGAUGAUAUCGCGAGAUCAAAGAUUUAUCGCCUGAGGAUGAGCCCGCGUAGGAUUCGCUAGUUGGUGUGGUAAAGGCGCACCAAGGCGACGAUCCUUAGCUGGUCUGAGAGGAUGAUCAGCCACACUGGGACUGAGACACGGCCCAGACUCCUACGGGAGGCAGCAGUGGGGAAUAUUGGACAAUGGGCGAAAGCCUGAUCCAGCAAUGCCGCGUGAGUGAUGAAGGCCUUAGGGUUGUAAAGCUCUUUUACCCGGGAUGAUAAUGACAGUACCGGGAGAAUAAGCUCCGGCUAACUCCGUGCCAGCCGCCGCGGUAA
rnacentral:rRNA from 1 species